AUGGCGACCCCUUUCUCCCUCACAAAGGAUGUCAUCAAGAUGCAGUUUGCAACCAACCAAGUCGGGCAUUUUCUUUUGACAGACAUCCAAGGAAGAAUUGCUAAUGUUUUGUCAGAGGGGCACUGGUUUGCAUACAAGGAAGGCAUCUGGUUGGCCAAGCUAAAUGAUGAGGAAGAGUAUAACACCAUUGCAGCAUAUGGGCAGUCAAAGCUUGCAAGCAUUUUACAUGCGAAUGAACUUGCUAGGAGAUUUAAGAGAAAUGCUAUUCUUCUCAGUUUUUCACUGUGCGCUAGGCUGAUGCAGCAACACACAAAUGGUUUGGGUUUGUAA
rnacentral:rRNA from 1 species